rnacentral:rRNA from 1 species
AGCAGUAAAUGUGGAGCCGUAGCGAAAGCGAGUCUGAAUAGGGCGUUUAGUAUUUGGUCGUAGACCCGAAACCAGGUGAUCUACCCUUGGUCAGGUUGAAGUUCAGGUAACACUGAAUGGAGGACCGAACCGACUUACGUUGAAAAGUGAGCGGAUGAACUGAGGGUAGCGGAGAAAUUCCAAUCGAACCUGGAGAUAGCUGGUUCUCUCCGAAAUAGCUUUAGGGCUAGCCUCAAGUGAUGAUUAUUGGAGGUAGAGCACUGUUUGGACGAGGGGCCCCUCUCGGGUUACCGAAUUCAGACAAACUCCGAAUGCCAAUUAAUUUAACUUGGGAGUCAGAACAUGGGUGAUAAGGUCCGUGUUCGAAAGGGAAACAGCCCAGACCACCAGCUAAGGUCCCAAAAUAUAUGUUAAGUGGAAAAGGAUGUGGCGUUGCCCAGACAACUAGGAUGUUGGCUUAGAAGCAGCCAUCAUUUAAAGAGUGCGUAAUAGCUCACUAGUCGAGUGACACUGCGCCGAAAAUGUACCGGGGCUAAACAUAUUACCGAAGCUGUGGAUUGUCCUUUGGACAAUGGUAGGAGAGCGUUCUAAGGGCGUUGAAGCAUGAUCGUAAGGACAUGUGGAGCGCUUAGAAGUGAGAAUGCCGGUGUGAGUAGCGAAAGACGGGUGAGAAUCCCGUCCACCGAUUGACUAAGGUUUCCAGAGGAAGGCUCGUCCGCUCUGGGUU